GUUUGAUCCUGGCUCAGAACGAACGCUGGCGGCAGGCUUAACACAUGGCAAGUCGAACGCUCGUAGCAAUACGGGAGUGGCGGACGGGUGAGUAACGCGUGGGAACGUGCCCUGAGGUACGGAAUAACUGAGGGAAACUUCAGCUAAUACCGUAUGAGCCCCGAGAGGGGGGAAAGAUUUAUCGCCUUGGGAGCGGCCCGCGUCGGAUUAGCUAGUUGGUGGGGUAACGGCCUACCAAGGCUUCGAUCCGUAGCUGGUCUGAGAGGACGAUCAGCCACACUGGGACUGAGACACGGCCCCAGACUCCUACGGGAGGCAGCAGUAGGGAAUCUUGCGCAAUGGGCGAAAGCCUGACGCAGCCAUGCCGCGUGAGUGAUGAAGGCCUUCGGGUCGUAAAACUCUGUCGGGAGGGACGAAGGGGAAACUCUGACGGUACCUCGCAAGAAAGCACCGGCUAACUCUGUG
rnacentral:rRNA from 1 species